rnacentral:piRNA from 1 species
UGACUAAGACAGGAGAUAUAAAAACAA